GGCCUCGUCACUCAGCUGGUAGAGCGUGCGCUGCUCAAAGGCGUAGGCGCAAGUUCAAAUCUCACCGAGGCUA
rnacentral:tRNA from 1 species